rnacentral:lncRNA from 1 species
UCUAGAUCUAGUUAAGUCAACAAAACCUCUCAGCCUCAAUGCUCACUGAAAAUGUGUCAAGAAGAGCCCCUAACUGGGCCCUAUGACUGGAGCUGAAGGGGCAGACUUAAAGAACAGUCUCUUUGAGAUGCACAGACACUUUUGGAUUCCAUCCUGUUAGACAAGCUGCACACAACAGAAUGACCAAGGGCAAGACCGAGAGACCAGGGAAACCGCUCAGAGAAUCCCUGUGGACUGGAGUCUCACGAGAGCAGACACUCUCCAGUGGAGGCAAACACCAUCUGCCUCAGCAGUCAUGGCUGACAGACCUCAUGAGGGGACCAGCAGCACCCUGAAUUAGCCAGAAGGAUGAGUACCGAAAUGGCCCACUUCAGGAAACAAAGGAGAGCUGUUCUCACUUUUGGGAAGCCCUGAGGAUCAGUGGCAAAACUGUGGACCUUGGUUGUGAAUAAACCCCUAGGUAAUUUCUCUACCUCCGGGAUC